rnacentral:rRNA from 1 species
CAGCAGCCGCGGUAAUACGGAGGGUGCAAGCGUUAAUCGGAAUUACUGGGCGUAAAGCGUGUGUAGGUGGUUGUUUAAGUCUGUCGUGAAAGCCCUGGGCUCAACCUGGGAAUUGCGAUGGAUACUGGGCGACUAGAGUGCGGUAGAGGAUAGUGGAAUUUCCGGUGUAGCAGUGAAAUGCGUAGAGAUCGGAAGGAACAUCUGUGGCGAAGGCGACUAUCUGGGCCAACACUGACACUGAGACACGAAAGCGUGGGGAGCAAACAGGAUUAGAUACCCCAGUAGUCCCUGUCUCUUAUAC